ensembl:lncRNA
CGAGACACUUGCCACGACUUCGAGGCACUUGCCACAAUUUCACGAGCCAGUUGCCACGACUUCGAGGCAGUUGCCACGAUUUCACGAGGCAGUUGCCACGAAGUCGAGACACUUGCCAUGACUUCGAGGCAAUUGCCACGGCUUCACGACAGCUACCUCGACUUUGCCGCAGUGGUGCCUCGACGGUUGCCGUUUUUACGACAGCUGCCUCGACUUUGCGCCAGACAGUUGCCGUUUUAUUUCCCAAAUAUGUGAUAUGUUUGUUUUAUCAUUUGCCACUAUGUGACUACAAUACUGCCUUUAAAAUUACCAGUGUUGGUAGUUAUUAUUAUUAACUAUUAACUAUUAUUAUUAUUCCUGCCUAGUGCAAUAACACUUUACAAUAAAUCAUCCCUGGCUAAAUAAUGACAAUAAUAACCCUGUACUGCUGCUGCUCUUUCCUCUUCCUCUUCUCCUUUUACAAAUUAUUAUUAUUGUCUCUUUUGGAAGGUUAUUCUUUUGUUUCAGUUUAUUUAAUUUAAUUUAAUAAUUUAAUAUUUCUAUCUUAUUAUAUUGUAUAUAAUGUGUAUCUUUUUAUUCUAUUUUCUUCCCUGUACAUGCUGCUGCAUGUUGAGUUAAUUAGUAUGGUAUAAUUUAAUAGCUAAUUUUACUAAAUGAAUAUCAAAUGUGUAGGCUGUAACAUAUAAAUCACAUUCAAAGACUUCGAAAAAUGAAGAGUCAAACAAACAAACUGUUAGAUUUGGUUGGAGCUUUAUGACAAAAAAGGUAAAUUAGACUAAUACAAUUAAAAAUAUACAGAUAUAUGAUAAAAGGUUAUAUUCACUACAUUUUGGCAACAGAAGCAGGCAGUGCUGUAGUGUUGCAACAGCAACUACACCAGUACUAGAAUUGUGUAAAAAAACAGCUGCGCAAACAAAUAACAUUUCACUAUAGUUUUAUAAAGUUAGAAAAAAAAUACGGUUUAAAAAAACGUUAUAUAACGGGGGUGAUAUUAAAAAGUGCUCAAAAGCCUAGUGAAUGUGAGCUGCAUUUGUUUACUCCUGGUAAACAGGUGAUGCUCACCUAAAGGUAUACUCCCUCUCGUGGCUAAAUGGGUCCCUCUUGUGGCUAAAUGGGUCAAUAACUUGUCUUUCAAAAGUGUGUGUGUGUGAUAUAUAUAUUAAAUAUAAUAAAAUAAAAUAACAAAUAAAUAAACAAAAAACAUUUUAAAAACCCACAAACACAUAUGACUUAAAAGUAGCCAUACUAUUACAAAUAUAAAC